rnacentral:rRNA from 1 species
AGAGUUUGAUCCUGGCUCAGGAUGAACGCUAGCUACAGGCUUAACACAUGCAAGUCGAGGGGCAGCAUGUCGGUUGCUUGCAACCGAUGAUGGCGGCCGGCGCACGGGUGAGUAACGCGUAUCCGACCUACCCUUGUCCAUCGGAUAACCCGUCGAAAGGCGGCCUAACACGAUAUGCGGUUCUCAGCAGGCAUCUAACGAGAACGAAAUGUGAAGGAGAAGGAUGGGGAUGCGUCUGAUUAGCUUGUUGGCGGGGUAACGGCCCACCAAGGCUACGAUCAGUAGGGGUUCUGAGAGGAAGGUCCCCCACAUUGGAACUGAGACACGGUCCAAACUCCUACGGGAGGCAGCAGUGAGGAAUAUUGGUCAAUGGACGGGAGUCUGAACCAGCCAAGUAGCGUGCAGGACGACGGCCCUAUGGGUUGUAAACUGCUUUUAUAGGGGGAUAAAGUGUGCCACGUGUGGCAUAUUGCAGGUACCCUAUGAAUAAGGACCGGCUAAUUCCGUGUCAGCAGCCGCGGUAAUACGGAAGGUCCGGGCGUUAUCCGGAUUUAUUGGGUUUAAAGGGAGCGUAGGCCGUCUUAUAAGCGUGUUGUGAAAUGUCGGGGCUCAACCUGGGCAUUGCAGCGCGAACUGUGAGACUUGAGUGCGCAGGAAGUAGGCGGAAUUCGUCGUGUAGCGGUGAAAUGCUUAGAUAUGACGAAGAACUCCGAUUGCGAAGGCAGCCUGCUAUAGCGCAACUGACGCUGAAGCUCGAAAGCGUGGGUAUCGAACAGGAUUAGAUACCCUGGUAGUCCACGCGGUAAACGAUGGAUGCUCGCUGUUUGCGUCUGACGUAAGCGGCCAAGCGAAAGCGUUAAGCAUCCCACCUGGGGAGUACGCCGGCAACGGUGAAACUCGAAGGAAUCGACGGGGACCCGCACAAGCGGUGGAGCAUGUGGUUUAAUUCGAAGCAACGCGAAGAACCUUACCUGGUCUUGACAUCCCUAUGAAUAACGGGCAAUGCCGUUAGUACUUCGGUACAUAGGAGACAGGUGGUGCAUGGUUGUCGUCAGCUCGUGUCGUGAGAUGUUGGGUUAAGUCCCGCAACGAGCGCAACCCUUAUCUUUAGUAGCCAGCAGUAAGAUGGGCACUCUAGAGAGACUGCCGGGGAUAACCCGGAGGAAGGUGGGGAUGACGUCAAAUCAUCAUGCCCCUUAUGACCAGGGCUACACACGUGCUACAAUGGCGUAAACAAAGAGAAGCGAAGUCGUGAGGCAGAGCGAAUCUCAAAAAUAACGUCUCAGUUCGGAUUGUAGUCUGCAACUCGACUACAUGAAGCUGGAAUCGCUAGUAAUCGCAGAUCAGAAUGCUGCGGUGAAUACGUUCCCGGGUCUUGUACACACCGCCCGUCACACCAUGGGAGUCGGAAAUGCCCGAAGUCGGUGACCUAACCGCAAGGAAGGAGCCGCCGAAGGCAGGUCUGAUAACUGGGGUGAA